rnacentral:rRNA from 1 species
AGUGAACGCUGGCGGUAGGCCUAACACAUGCAAGUCGAACGGCAGCACAGUAAGAGCUUGCUCUUACGGGUGGCGAGUGGCGGACGGGUGAGGAAUACAUCGGAAUCUACUUUUUCGUGGGGGAUAACGUAGGGAAACUUACGCUAAUACCGCAUACGACCUACGGGUGAAAGCAGGGGAUCCUCGGACCUUGCGCGAUUGAAUGAGCCGAUGUCGGAUUAGCUAGUUGGCGGGGUAAAGGACCACCAAGGCGACGAUCCGUAGCUGGUCUGAGAGGGUGACCGGCCAAACUGGGACAGAGACACGGCCCAGACUCCUGCGGGAGGCAGCAGUGGGGAAUAUUGCACGAUGGUAGGAAGCCGAAUGCAGCGACGCCGCGUGAGGGAUGACGGCCUUCGGGUUGUAAAACUCUUUCAGUAGGGAAGAAGCGAAAGUGACGGUACCUGCAGGAGAAGAACGGGCUAGGUACGUG